CCUACGGGAGGCAGCAGUGGGGAAUAUUGCACAAUGGGCGCAAGCCUGAUGCAGCGACGCCGCGUGAGGGAUGACGGCCUUCGGGUUGUAAACCUCUUUCAGUAGGGAAGAAGCGAAGUGACGGUACCUGCAGAAGAAGCGCCGGCUAACUACGUGCCAGCAGCCGCGGUAAUACGUAGGGCGCAAGCGUUAUCCGGAAUUAUUGGGCGUAAAGAGCUCGUAGGCGGUUUGUCGCGUCUGCUGUGAAAGACCGGGGCUCAACUCCGGUUCUGCAGUGGGUACGGGCAGACUAGAGUGCAGUAGGGGAGACUGGAAUUCCUGGUGUAGCGGUGAAAUGCGCAGAUAUCAGGAGGAACACCGAUGGCGAAGGCAGGUCUCUGGGCUGUAACUGACGCUGAGGAGCGAAAGCAUGGGGAGCGAACAGGAUUAGAUACCCUGGUAGUCCAUGCCGUAAACGUUGGGCACUAGGUGUGGGGGACAUUCCACGUUUUCCGCGCCGUAGCUAACGCAUUAAGUGCCCGCCUGGGGAGUACGGCCGCAAGGCUAAAACUCAAAGGAAUUGACGG
rnacentral:rRNA from 1 species